ACAUAAUAUUGAUACGAAUUUAACUACUGAGUACUCACAUUAAAACAAGCAAAAUACGUUAACUUCGGUGGCACUGAAGCAAUAAUACCCUUCACAGGAGCAUUUUUUUUGUAUGUAUAGAAAUUUUUUUUCCUGAUUUGUUCGGCCACUUUGAUGACAUCUAUAAUUUAUGGUGGUCCGAUCCGAACAAUAUGAAUCAAGAACUUGAUUCUGAUUAUUCAAUUUGUACGGCAGCUAUAUGCUAUAGUAGUCCGAUAUCAGCGGUUUCGAGAAAUGAGCAACUUCUUGGGGAGAGAAGAACGUGCGAUAUCUCAAAACUGAGGAACUAAUACAUGUAUAUACAGACAUACGGACAGCUCGUCAUGCUGAUCAAAUAAAAGACCCAUGAAAUACAUAUACAUAUAUGGUACAUAUUUGUCUUGUUGUUUCGAAAAACAUAAAUAAUAGGAAAACAAUUUAUGUACACUUUAGUGGUCUAGUUUAUCGACAUUUCAAAUUUCCUAAGUGCACACUUGAAUAUGAAAAGGUUAUUUGGUUGUGUAGUGCUGUUCUCAAUCUGACUACAACAACUUCGAAUUUGAUGAAGAAAUUGAAAGCAUGAAAUAAUUUUUUAAUGAAUUGUCAGGAUCACCACCAGGGAUAUCCCUUCAGGCACAAAGAUCGUAAGAUCAUCGUAUUAAAUAAAACUAUAUUGAUUAAAUUAAUUUAGAUAACUCACUCAUUUGCCGACAUAUGUAUACUUACUCAUAAAUAAUCAACCAACCGCUAGAGGCCAAAAGAUAUACAUAUGUAUAAUUAAACAAACAAAGGACCUGGAAGAAUGAUUUAUACAAGUACACUAUUGGUCCUGACGCAACUAAUCAGCCAGCAAAAUGACACUGGUAACAUCUAGUUGCAGUAACACAACUCCCACGAUAGGAGGAUUGGCCAUAAUUCACUACCACAACUGUCAAGUGGAAAUAAAUGGCAUUACAUACAACUUGGAUUUAUUCAUAUACAAUGAAGACCCUAUCUCUAUACCCCUUCCGACGGUCAAGAUCGAAGGUAAAACUACAAGCAAGACGCUCACAUCGAAGUUCGCUAAAAGAUGAACAGAUCAACUUAGAUCUCGAGGCAGAAUGAAACAACAACGACACAAGCAUGCACCUUGCUAUUCUAUUGGUCAUCAUUGUAAUUAGCGUCGGUCUAGCAUUAAUGCCCAGGAAGAAGAUAAUAAAAUUGAUCAGAGAUGAAAUCACCUUUCAACAAGAAUCCGUUACAUCGUUGUGGCCCUUGCUCUACUUUAAUGGGAACGGAGUCAGGUCCCCACCUGCAUUGGUGACGACACAACCAACCAUGACUCAAGAUGCGUAGCAACAACAAUAAGAUCAGUGCACGAUCAUUGCCCCAAUUAAUAAGUGCAACCAUUGCACAACCAGAAAUCAACGCUGAAAACAAGUGGGCCACCAGACAGUAGAUUGUAAAAUUAAAUGUAAUCACUUUAUUUUAUUGCUAACUAAGCAUUACC